AUUGAACGCUGGCGGCGUGCCUAACACAUGCAAGUCGAGCGGUAACAGGUGUAGCAAUACAUGCUGACGAGCGGCGAACGGGUGAGUAAUGCUUCGGAAUCUACCCAAUGGUGGGGAAUAACCAGCCGAAAGGUUGGCUAAUACCGCAUACGUCCCACGGGAGAAAGCAGGGGAUCGCAAGACCUUGCGCCAAUGGAUGAGCCGAAGUCGGAUUAGCUAGUUGGAGGGUAACGGCCUACCAAGGCGACGAUCCGUAGCUGGUCUGAGAGGACGACCAGCCACACUGGGACUGAGACACGGCCCAGACUCCUACGGGAGGCAGCAGUGGGGAAUAUUGGACAAUGGGGGAAACCCUGAUCCAGCGACGCCGCGUGUGUGAAGAAGGCCUGCGGGUUGUAAAGCACUUUUAGUGGGGAUGAAAUGUUCAGGGUUAACACCUCUGGAUUUUGACCUAACCCACAGAAAAGCACCGGCUAACUCUGUGCCAGCCGCCGCGGUAA
rnacentral:rRNA from 1 species